AAUCUUUUAGUUUAAUAAAAACAUUAAAUUGCAAAUUUAAUAAUGAAUAAUUUCUAAGAUUU
rnacentral:tRNA from 1 species